CAGCUGUGACUGACAUUGAUACCAGUGGCAUUCAUGCCCUCGAAGAGUUACACAGAAGUCUUCAAAAGAGAGAUGUUCAGCUUGUUCUAGCAAACCCCGGCCCAGUAGUGAUAAACAAGCUUCACACCUCCAAUUUUGCAAACCUGAUCGGUGAGGACAAGAUCUUCCUCACAGUUGCAGAUGCUGUUUCAUACUGUUCUUCAAGGCUGGCAGAAGAGCCUUGAAAAUUUUGGUUAUGAGAUUGAGAGGUGCAGAUGAAUAUGGUGUUUGUAAAUAGGGUGGAAGUUGUGAACGAUGGAUGCAUCAGCUAACUAGUCAGUAUAAACAGAUGGCAUAUGUGGCUCUGCCUAUUUGGGAUCCUUAAUUGUCCUAUGAAAGGGAAAUACGAAAAUACUGGGAGGUUCUUGUUGUGCACUCCAAUAAGCUUGAAUUUUUUUUGCCCCCCGUUAAUAUCUGCUAAUAUGAUAUGUCCACAGAGCUACUUCCCAGAAUCCCAGUCUGAAGAUUUUUCAUUUCAUGUUGAGGGAACUUCUCGAAAAAUCAGUGGCCUUGCUGUGGCUAUCUGCUGAUGAUGCCAUUGUAUUUCUGAGGCUAUAUCCUUCAGGAAUGAUAACUGCUUGCAUUUAUUAAUGAAGCGUCUGAUUUUUGCCGGGCAAGCUGUGAAUCGUCGUUGUACCCCCAAUCUUCUCUGCAGCUUUCGAAGCGAAAGUUCUGAAUUGUAGAUGCAUGAUUGCGCAGCACGGAAAUGUGUGUGGACGGCUUUGUGUGUGCUGGGCUGCAAAAGAUGUCUGAUUCAAAUUACAAGUAUCCCUCACCUCAUAUUUGAAUAUUGAAAGAAAAGUGACAUCAUUAGCUAACAAUUGGGUGAAAGUUCUUAUCCGUUUCUACUGUUAACUUGUUCAAAGAUGUUGGUCUUAAAGCACAUGGAAAGUGAAUGCAGUUCAGGGUUGGGGUUGUUCCAAGAUUUAUUUAUGUAUUUUCUUGAGAUAAAUUAUCCAGGAUUUACGGUUUCGUGAUCA